rnacentral:rRNA from 1 species
UGGGGAAUAUUGCACAAUGGGGGAAACCCUGAUGCAGCGACGCCGCGUGAACGAAGAAGGUAUUCGUAUCGUAAAGUUCUGUCCUAUGGGAAGAUAAUGACAGUACCAUAGAAGAAAGCUCCGGCUAAAUACGUGCCAGCAGCCGCGGUAAUACGUAUGGAGCGAGCGUUGUCCGGAAUUAUUGGGCGGAAAGGGUACGCAGGCGGUUUAAUAAGUCGAAUGUUAAAGAUCGGUGCUCAACCCCGCAAAGCAUUGGAAACUGAUAAACUUGAGUAGUGGAGAGGUAAGUGGAAUUCCUAGUGUAGUGGUGAAAUACGUAGAUAUUAGGAGGAAUACCAGUAGCGAAGGCGACUUUCUGGACACAAACUGACGCUGAGGUACGAAAGCGUGGGGAGCAAACAGG